CAAAAAACACAGGAGAAAGGUAAAUUCGACGACGAUAUUUAUCCCUCCGUUCGAACCCCUCGAAAUUCUCCUUCGUGUGAUUUAUUUCGGAUAAACGUUAUUUCCGCGUAUUCUAUCCCCGAGAUUCUUCCGAGGGAAGGAAGAGAAUUUCUGUAUGACCCACCUGGCUAUUGUAUCUCAUCCACCAUCGAUCGGGGAAGAUUCUUAUUUACCUGGAUCAGCAAGAAUUAAGCGCGGAAACGGACCAACUGAUCUUACGGACACCCCGGUAUAACCUCAAAGAUCGUGGGAAAAGUAUAUAUAUGUACGAAAAUACCACCACGAAGGAGAAGCUCGGGCUUCCACGAACAACCAUGACGCAUGUGCGACAAAAUUCUGCAAGGGAAGCGAUGUGUAAUAUCGGGAGAGAGAGGUGACAGAGUACAUGGAAGGUUGGCGAAGACGCGAGCAGGAAGAGAGUAGAGGGGAUGGUUGGCGCGUGGCUCGAUUCCUCUUCCCCACCUCUCGUGGUCGAGAGCCACCGACGAUCCGAAACUCGCGCGCGGCCGUCCAGAGAGCGAGGCAGAUGCCAAGGUACUUCUUUCGGGUCUGGCUCUUAACCGAGGCGGUAUUAAAGGUAGGAGAGAAGCCGACACCACCGAGAAAGGCUGUAAGAGGCAAGCACCUGCCGUAAGCGCAUGGUGUCGGGUCACUCGGCUCCUC